UUCAGCAGGCAGGCCUAAUGAAAUCCCGGUUAAUUUUCUUCGAGUAUCUCUCGACACAGAAGGACUGUUGAUCCAAGCAUCGGAUGGAAAGAGGACAGCGCAAUGCAAGCUCCAUCGCUCUCUCUCUCACACACAUACACCCUGUUUUACGGUUAGGUUUGCUGGGUCCCGUUAGCAGUAGAACACGAACAGCACGAUCCUUAUACAUGUUUACUCAGAAAACCAUGCUGUAAAGCCCUCUGCGAGAAAACCUCACAACACUUUCUCAACAGUCUCAUCAGGGUGUGGGGGACCUCUGGCCUGAAGGCCAGUCCUGGCCCACCAGGGGUCCAGUUUGGCCCGGAAGACCAUUUUACCCAAACCAUGUCACCUGUCAAUCAGAUGGUGUCACAAGGGGUG